UAUUAUUAUCAUUAAUAUAUUACUGUACCUAAUAUAUAUAUUAAGCUUUAUCAUAGGCGGGUGUGUGUAGGAAGAGACAUAGUAUGGUCAUGUCUUACCUGAUGGGGGUUGAUAACAGAAGUUGAGGUCAUUUUCUGAAAAGAUAAGCUUUAUUUUACAUCAGGCUCAUGGAAUGAGUACUGGUGGAUACAAUUUUUCCUUUCCUUCCUCAUUGUCACUGUAAGGUCUGACAGGCAACUUUGGACCACAUCCAGUCUUGUUGAGGUGCCCGAGCUUCUAUCUAGGUUACUGUCUCUUGGAUUGCUCAUUCUGGGGGAAAACAGCUGCCGUGUGGUGAGGAAAGAUAGACACAAUGAAGAACUGAACCAAAAACCAUGUGAGUGAGUCAUCUUGGAGCAGCUCCUUGGCAUCAUUCAAGGCUUGACAUGAUGGCAGCUCCAGAUGACAUUGACUGCAACAUCAUAAGAGAUCCUAACCAGAUCUACCCUGCUAACCUGUUCCUGGAUCUGACCUUUGGGAACUGUGUGAGAUAAUAAAUACUGCUUUAACUGCUAA